GAUGAACGCUGGAGGCGUGCCUAAUACAUGCAAGUCGAGCGAACGGACGAGAAGCUUGCUUCUCUGAUGUUAGCGGCGGACGGGUGAGUAACACGUGGAUAACCUACCUAUAAGACUGGGAUAACUUCGGGAAACCGGAGCUAAUACCGGAUAAUAUUUUGAACCGCAUGGUUCAAAAGUGAAAGACGGUCUUGCUGUCACUUAUAGAUGGAUCCGCGCUGCAUUAGCUAGUUGGUAAGGUAACGGCUUACCAAGGCAACGAUGCAUAGCCGACCUGAGAGGGUGAUCGGCCACACUGGAACUGAGACACGGUCCAGACUCCUACGGGAGGCAGCAGUAGGGAAUCUUCAGCAAUGGGCGAAAGCCUGACGGAGCAACGCCGCGUGAGUGAUGAAGGUCUUCGGAUCGUAAAACUCUGUUAUUAGGGAAGAACAUAUGUGUAAGUAACUGUGCACAUCUUGACGGUACCUAAUCAGAAAGCCACGGCUAACUACGUG
rnacentral:rRNA from 1 species